GGAAGUAAAAGUCAUAACAAGGUAACCGUAGGUGAACCUGCGGUUGGAUCAUUAACAAUUGAAAAGUAGGGAUGGUGCUGCGCACCUUUCCCUAGCCAGAAAUGGAAGCAAUCUGUGAACCGUUUGUUUUUCGGCGGGUGGGCAGUGAGAGCUGCUUGUCAGCGCGCAAGGUCUCGACCUUCGUGCGCCGUGGACAGCCCGUCGGUUUGUGUCUAAACCAUUUAUCAUUUCUCUCUUCUAACAUUUCAUUGUAUAAAUAUACAAAACAACUUUUGGCAACGGAUCUCUUGGCUCUC
rnacentral:misc_RNA from 1 species